CAAGGACAGAGAGGUCCACUAGGAGAGGCAGGUCCAAAGGGAGAAAGGGGUCCUCAAGGUACAAGAGGAAUAAACGGCCUACCUGGGCCUAAAGGAGAGCCUGGUUUACCAGGAGUUGAUGGCCGUGAAGGGAUCCCUGGAAUGCCUGGAGCUAAAGGUGAACCGGGGAAACCUGGAGCUCCAGGUGAUACAGGGCUCCAGGGACUGCCAG